CAGGGAGAUGUGUGUGUGAGAGAGAGAAGAGAUAGAGGGUAGACAGACGGAGAGAAGAGCAGUCCUUUGGAGCAACAACCAUUGCUUCGCUCGUGACAGCCAUUGCGUCGCUCGAGCAGUCCUUCGGAGUUACCUCCUUCGCAGCCCGGUUCGUUUUCGCUUCUCCCUCCUGUCGACGAAGACCCGCGAACGAAGCAAACGGAGUCGUCUCACCUCUCCCUCCGACCGGAGCUCUCACACCUCUCCUUCCCACCGUCCAAUUUCAGUCAUUUCACCUUUUCUAGACGUUAUACUCAAUGCCGAGUUCUCUAUGCUUGUGAUUGGUCUAGACGUUAUACUCAACACAGAUAUUGAAAUUAUCUUCUGGAGCAGGAACUGGUGCCUUCAACUCAUGACAUUCCCUAUGAGUUUGUUGCUGAAGAAAAUUCUAUUCCACUUCAGAGACUCAGUUAUUGUAGGCACUGCAAGGCAUAUGUAAAGGGGUUCGACCAUCAUUGUCCUACUUUUGGAAACUAUAUAGGUCAAAAAAACCAUGUCCUCUUCAUAAUCCUCCUUUUUGGGUUUGUUUUUACUAAGGCUUCGUAUGUAGAAUGCUCAUCUCAAUGAUUCACAUUUUGUCGUAUAUCACUUGAAUAUAAAAAGGCAUCCUCAAGUUGGAUAAGCCUCUAGGAAAUUGGCUCAAGUUUGCUGUCUGAAUACUCGAAGUUAUGCCUAUUUAUGAUUGGAGAUGAACGAAUUUGGUAACCUGCAUAGCAAGAGUUUUUGUUGACAUUACCAAACAUGUAUUUUAACUAUGUUGUUGUGGGUUAUGAUUAUAUUGUGAUGGAUCUUAUUUUUUUGUUGAUAUUUUAUUGAAUAGAUUAAAAUGAACAGGUUUUUGUUGAUGUUACCAAAUGAACUGGUUUUUGUAAUGAUUUGUAAUGGAUAUUAUAUUCAGCAGGUUAUUAAAAUG